CGACUGCUUCUUAAUAUUGGCUAUGCGC
rnacentral:piRNA from 1 species